GUGAGGAAUUUUCCGCAAUGGGCGAAAGCCUGACGGAGCAAUGCCGCGUGAAGGAUGAAGGCCUAUGGGUUGUAAACUUCUUUUCUUAGAGAAGAAUAUUGACGGUAUCUGAGGAAUAAGCAUCGGCUAACUCUGUGCCAGCAGCCGCGGUAAGACAGAGGAUGCAAGCGUUAUCCGGAAUGAGUGGGCGUAAAGCGUCUGUAGGUGGCUUCAAAAGUCUCCUGUCAAAGAUCAGGGCUUAACCCUGGGCCGGCAGGAGAAACUCUGAGGCUAGAGUUUGGUAGGGGCAGAGGGAAUUCCCGGUGGAGCGGUGAAAAGCGUAGAGAUCGGGAGGAACACCAAAGGCGAAAGCACUCUGCUGGGCCACAACUGACACUGAGAGACGAAAGCGAGGGGAGCAAAAGGGAUUAGAUACCCGGGUAGUCC
rnacentral:rRNA from 1 species